GGAAGGGUGGGGCGGGAAAGGAGUCGCGUGCGCGGCCUCUGGGAAAGUUGCUUCAGGCUGCCGGGGGAAGAACAUGGCACGCCGAUGGAAUGUCUUCCAUUAGCAGGUUGUCAGUGGAGAGAUUGACAGGGAAACGGAUCAGACCUGAGGUAUAAAUCUUGGCUUUUACAUUUGCUCUGGAGAGGAGGAGCUGCUCAUGGGAUCAAACCCUGAUGCUCUGUAAAGGUCAUUUUCUACACCGGGAGACUGAGAAGCUUGUCAGCUCCUGGGAGCUUGGGGGGGGGCAGUGCUUUAAGCGAGGGGGAAUUAACUGCUUGCCCUGGAAGAGGUCUGUUGCAGGUUGGGUCUGCAAAAGCCUUUCUCCAGCUAUUUUAGAGACGGUUAUAAUUUAUCACUGAGAGGUUUCUGUGUCUGCUGGUUGAAUUUUACAUCUGGGGUGUGGCAACAAAAUGCAUGUUCUAAUUGUUUCAACCAUUAAAGUUUUAAGCAAUCAAGGAAGUUCUGAAUGCCAAGAAUCUUUAUUUUUUCAUUCCCAACUAAAGUGUUGCCUUUGUUGAACUGAACAUAAGUUUUCUACGUCACAUUUCCUCUGUAGAAAAGGAAUGUGGUUUGAUAAAAGAUAAAGCUGUGAAGAUCUCAAGGUGCAGACUGAAUUGUUAAUAAGACCAGGAAUAUUCAGUAUGGCAAAUACAUCAUCGGACAUUCCAUUGACUGUUGGCAUUCUUCAGCAAUUGUUUGAUGAGCAAAUCAGAGCGUUUAGACCAGAGAUUUGAACAAAAGUGGACCAGAGAAGGAUGAAAUGGAAAGGUGUUAAACAGGACAAAGAAACUUAGGACAAUAUGGGUGAAGGAAUGCCGGGAGGAGGAUGAAAUGCUAAAGAGGUGGAGGCAACAGAUGGUGAAACGGAGAAGCCCUUCACCCAGGCGUUUAGAGGAAUGAAACAGUCAAAUGAAGGAGCUGUGAUGUUGGGAGUGGAAGGAAGCCAUGGAUGGAGAGAUAAGACCACCUGAGCUGGCAGAGAUAAGAGAGAAAGGGCUCUGUACAUUGUGGAGUGAAUUUGGAGAAAAAGGCUAUCAAACAUCUGCUUCCCUUCUCUUGCUUCUGCAUCAUCAGCUUCCUUUGGACGCCUCCCGAGAUGACGAGGGAGGCAGCUUGUUUUCAGGGAAGCAGCUGAUGGUUUUCUUCCCGCUUCUCUGUAGACCCAAUUCCACAGGGACACGAAACAGGAGUGUGUGGGAGAACCCCCACCAGUCAUUAGACUAGAUCUCCCACUGCCCCAACCACUGGCCAUGAUGCUCAGUCAUUUUUCCUCCCAAUACUAGGCUUUGCCCUAAAAAGCAACUUAUUAAUAUGUUUAAUAAUAAAGAAUU